UGGGGAAUAUUGGACAAUGGGCGCAAGCCUGAUCCAGCAAUGCCGCGUGGAUGAAGAAGGUCUUCGGAUUGUAAAGUCCUUUCGGCGGGGACGCGGUACCCGCAGAAGAAGCCCCGGCUAACUUCGUGCCAGCAGCCGCGGUAAUACGAAGGGGGCUAGCGUUGCUCGGAAUUACUGGGCGUAAAGGGCGCGUAGGCGGCCCUGUCAGUCAGGCGUGAAAUUCCUGGGCUCAACCUGGGGACUGCGCUUGAUACGGCGGGGCUGGAGGCCGAGAGAGGGUGGUGGAAUUCCCAGUGUAGAGGUGAAAUUCGUAGAUAUUGGGAAGAACACCGGUGGCGAAGGCGGCCACCUGGCUCGGUUCUGACGCUGAGGCGCGACAGCGUGGGGAGCAAACAGGAUUAGAUACCCUAGUAGU
rnacentral:rRNA from 1 species